CCUACGGGUGGCUGCAGUGGGGAAUAUUGCACAAUGGGGGGAACCCUGAUGCAGCGACGCCGCGUGGGUGAAGGAGUACUUCGGUACGUAAAGCCCUAUCAGCAGGAAAGAAAAUGACGGUACCUGACUAAGAAGCCCCGGCUAACUACGUGCCAGCAGCCGCGGUAAUACGUAGGGGGCAAGCGUUAUCCGGAUUUACUGGGUGUAAAGGGAGCGUAGACGGCAGCACAAGUCUGGAGUGAAAUGCCGGGGCUUAACCCCGGAACUGCUUUGGAAACUGUGCAGCUAGAGUGCAGGAGAGGUAAGUGGAAUUCCUAGUGUAGCGGUGAAAUGCGUAGAUAUUAGGAGGAACACCAGUGGCGAAGGCGGCUUACUGGACUGUAACUGACGUUGAGGCUCGAAAGCGUGGGGAGCAAACAGGAUUAGAUACCCUAGUAGUC
rnacentral:rRNA from 1 species